rnacentral:misc_RNA from 1 species
GUGAAUCAUCGAAUCUUUGAACGCAAAUUGCACUCUCCUCGGAGAGUAUGCCUGUUUGAGGGUCAGCCUAUAAAAAAUCGACACCGUUGCUGUUUCGCGGUGGCGUUCGUCGGAAAUUGGGUCAUCUUAAAUCCUUGUUAUAUGAGAGACAUAAAUUUUUCUUUGGUUCCUAUACGCGUUUAU